rnacentral:rRNA from 1 species
AGGACUAACGCUGGCGGCGUGCCUAACACAUGCAAGUCGAGCGGGGUAGCAAUACCCAGCGGCAGACGGGUGAGUAACGCGUGGUCAACCUUCCGUUGAAUGGGGGAUAACUAGCCGAAAGGUUAGCUAAUACCGCAUACGAUCUUUUGAAGGCAUCUUUAAAAGAUGAAAGGAGCAAUUCGUUCAACGACGGGACCGCGUCCCAUUAGCUAGAUGGUGGGGUAAUGGCCUACCAUGGCAACGAUGGGUAGCUGGUUUGAGAGAGCGACCAGCCACACUGGGACUGAGAAACGGCCCAGACUCCUACUGGAGGCAGCAGUGAGGAAUUUUCCGCAAUGGGCGAAAGCCUGACGGAGCGACGCCGCGUGUGGGAAGAAGGCCUUCGGGUCGUAAACCACUGUCGAAGGGGACGAGUAAUGACGGUACCCUUGGAGGAAGCCCCGGCUAACUACGUGCCAGCAGCCGC